rnacentral:rRNA from 1 species
GGAGAGGGAGCCUGAGAAACGGCUACCACAUCUACGGAAGGCAGCAGGCGCGUAAAUUACCCAAUCCUGACUCAGGGAGGUAGUGACAAGAAAUAGCAAACCGGGAACCUCAUGGUUUCACGGUAUUGCAAUGAGAACAAUUUAAAACCCUUAGCGAGAAUCAAGUGGAGGACAAGUCUGGUGCCAGCACCCGCGGUAAUUCCAGCUCCACUAGCGUAUAUUAAAGUUGUUGCAGUUAAAAAGCUCGUAGUUGAACCUCUGUCUGGGGCUAGUUUUGGCUUUGGUCAGGCUAGUUCUAGGCAUCCGCCUACAAGACUUAGAAGGCAUUCAGUUGUUCACUAGGAGGAGUAGGCAUUUUACUUUGAAAAAAUUAGAGUGUUUAAGGCAGGCAAUCGCCCGCAUAUAUUAGCAUGGAAUAAUAGAAUAGGACACUUUUCCAUUUCGUUGGUUAUUGGAAUCGUGUAAUGAUUAAUAGGGACAGUUGUGGGCAUUUGUAUUUAAUUGUCAGAGGUGAAAUUCUUGGAUUUAUUAAAGACAAACUAACGCGAAAGCAUUUGCCAAGGAUGUUUUCAUUAAUCAAGAACGAAAGUUAGGGGAUCAAAGACGAUCAGAUACCGUCCUAGUCUUAACUAUAAACUAUUCCGACUCAAUGUUUGACUGGCUUAUAUAACCAGUUAAGCGUUGUAUGAGAAAUCAAAGUCUUUAGGUUCUGGGGGGAGUAUGGUUGCAAAGCUGAAACUUAAAGGAAUUGACGGAAGAGCACAACCAGGAGUGGAUUCUGCGGCUUAAUUUGACUCAACACGGGGAAACUUACCAGGUUUAAACAAUAGUGGGAUUGACAGUUUGAGAGCGCUUUCUUGAUUGGUUGGGUGGUGGUGCAUGGCCGUUCUUAGUUGGUGGAGUGAUUUGUCUGCUUAAUUGCGUUAACGAACGAGACCUUAACCUGCUUACUAGACUGGCGAUCAUCAAUCGUUAGCUCUUCUUAGAGGGACUUUGGUUGUUUUAACUCCAAGGAAGUUUGAGGCAAUAACAGGUCUGUGAUGCCCUUAGAUAUCCUGGGCCGCACGCGUCAUACAAUGACUAGUUCAGAAAGUUUUCUCCUGACCCGAAAGGGGAUGGGUAAUCUUGAUAAUACUAGUCGUGUUAGGGAUCGAUCUUUGCAAUUAUAGAUCUUGAACGAGGAAUUCCUAGUAAGUGCGGUUCAUCAGACCGUACUGAUUACGUCCCUGCUCUUUGUACACACCGCCCGUCGCUUCUACCGAGUGGGUGGUCCGGUGAGAUAAUUGAACUUCGCAGGUAACUGAGAGGAAAGAUUAUCAAACCUAUCCACCUCGAGGAAGAAGAAGUCGUAACAAGGUU